GACGAACGCUGGCGGCGUGCUUAACACAUGCAAGUCGAACGGAAAGGCCCUGCUUGCAGGGUACUCGAGUGGCGAACGGGUGAGUAACACGUGGGUGAUCUGCCCUGCACUUCGGGAUAAGCCUGGGAAACUGGGUCUAAUACCGGAUAGGAGCCAUUUUUAGUGUGAUGGUUGGAAAGUUUUUUCGGUGUAGGAUGAGCUCGCGGCCUAUCAGCUUGUUGGUGGGGUAAUGGCCUACCAAGGCGGCGACGGGUAGCCGGCCUGAGAGGGUGGACGGCCAAAUUGGGACUGAGAUACGGCCCAGACUCCUACGGGGGGCAGCAGUGGGGAAUAUUGCACAAUGGGCGCAAGCCUGAUGCAGCGACGCCGGGUGGGGGAUGACGGCCUUCGGGUUGUAAACCCCUUUCGCUAGGGACGAAGCUUUUUGUGACGGUACCUAGAUAAGAAGCACCGGCUAACUACGU
rnacentral:rRNA from 1 species